GGGCCCUUAGCACAAUGGUUAGUGCAGCGGACUCAUAAUCCGUUGGUUGCAGGUUCGAGUCCUGCAGGGCCCACCA
rnacentral:tRNA from 1 species